CGGUCGGUUUACAGGUGGUGCAUGGUUGUCGUCAGCUCGUGUCGUGAGAUGUUGGGUUAAGUCCCGCAACGAGCGCAACCCUCGUUCUAUGUUGCCAGCGCGUUAUGGCGGGGACUCAUAGGAGACUGCCGGGGUCAACUCGGAGGAAGGUGGGGACGACGUCAAAUCAUCAUGCCCCUUAUGUCUUGGGCUUCACGCAUGCUACAAUGGCCGGUACAAAGGGUUGCGAUACUGUGAGGUGGAGCUAAUCCCAAAAAGCCGGUCUCAGUUCGGAUUGGGGUCUGCAACUCGACCCCAUGAAGUCGGAGUCGCUAGUAAUCGCAGAUCAGCAACGCUGCGGUGAAUACGUUCCCGGGUCUUGUA
rnacentral:rRNA from 1 species